CUGGGAGGCUAUUUUGCAUUUUGACCAAAACCAUGGCGAUACUGGGUUCAGGUUUUUCCACAAGGAAAAGUGAAUUUUUUUUGUUCAACCCAAUAUAAAAUAGAAAGGCAUAUAUAGGAAAUUUGGAGUAGUUCUAUAUGGAGAUAAAUAUAAAGCUAAUGAGAAAAGAGGAAUUCAGGCCUUGAAAGGGCUUCUUGGUCUGUCCUUUCUUCUGAAGGUACUAGAGAGCCGCUGAACAACUGAAAGCUGAAAAGGGCAAGAACAUUCUGGAGGUCACGUGGGGAUUGGAUUUAGUUUCACAGCUGGGAUCCUACCUGGCAGGCAGCUAUGGUCAUCAUGUUGCUCCCUGGAGAGAAUUUUGCUCUUCAGAAUUAUCCACAUUAAAUAUUUGAACUGGCUUCUUACAAUCAAAAUAAUGUAGUAUGGAUUUGUGAUAUGUGAUAUAUUCAUAAUACGGUUAAGGGAGUUUUAAGAAAAGCCAUUUUGUUGUCUUGAAAGACAGUGCAAAGUUGGGUAAGGCCUGUUUAUGUUGGUACCAAAAUGUGUUUGGUUUAAGUUUUUGAAAGUGAGUGUGCCAAUUUGCUUAGAUUAUUUUUUUUUCCUACAGUAAGAAAUAUUCAUUUUAGCCAACAAAAAGUAUACCAGAAUUGUGAUUGAAAUGGAGAAGAUGACUCAUGAUUUGAACUUGAAUAUUCUGAAAUUAAGAUCCCUUCUGCACAGUUCACUCUUAAAAAUAGGACAUUCAGAGGGUGCUCUUUGUUUAUCAUGUUGAAGGACAAGAACCAAAAUUGAAAUGUUGUCUAUCAGAAUGAAUAUUUUUCAUGUCCCUAUGCUGUGGGAAUUAUUAGACAUUAU
rnacentral:lncRNA from 1 species